CGUUGAAACACCGAUUUCCUUACGAUCACUGAAGUUAGGCAACGUCGAGCCUGGACAGUAAUUAGAUGGGCAACUGCUUGAGAAUACCAGGUGCUGUAA